rnacentral:rRNA from 1 species
GACGAACGCUGGCGGCGUGCCUAAUACAUGCAAGUAGAACGCUGAAGGAGGAGCUUGCUUCUCUGGAUGAGUUGCGAACGGGUGAGUAACGCGUAGGUAACCUGCCUGGUAGCGGGGGAUAACUAUUGGAAACGAUAGCUAAUACCGCAUAAUAGUAGAUGUUGCAUGACAUUUGCUUAAGAGGUGCAAUUGCAUCACUACCAGAUGGACCUGCGUUGUAUUAGCUAGUUGGUGAUGUAACGGCUCACCAAGGCGACGAUACAUAGCCGACCUGAGAGGGUGAUCGGCCACACUGGGACUGAGACACGGCCCAGUCUCCUACGGGAGGCAGCAGUAGGGAAUCUUCGGCAAUGGACGGAAGUCUGACCGAGCAACGCCGCGUGAGUGAAGAAGGUUUUCGGAUCGUAAAGCUCUGUUGUAAGAGGAGAACGAGUGUGAGAGUGGAAAGUUCACACUGUGACGGUAUCUUACCAGAAAGGGACGGCUAACUACGUG